GACGAACGCUGGCGGCGUGCUUAACACAUGCAAGUCGAACGGUAAGGCCCUUCGGGGUACACGAGUGGCGAACGGGUGAGUAACACGUGGGUGAUCUGCCCUGCACUUCGGGAUAAGCCUGGGAAACUGGGUCUAAUACCGGAUAGGACCACUGCCUGCAUGGGUGGUGGUGGAAAGCUUUUGCGGUGUGGGAUGGGCCCGCGGCCUAUCAGCUUGUUGGUGGGGUGAUGGCCUACCAAGGCGACGACGGGUAGCCGGCCUGGGAGGGGGACCGGCCACACUGGGACUGAGAUACGGGCCAGACUCCUACGGGAGGCAGCAGGGGGGAAUAUUGCACAAUGGGCGCAAGCCGGAUGCAGCGACGCCGCGUGAGGGAUGACGGCCUUCGGGUUGUAAACCUCUUUCAGCACCGACGAAGCGCAGGUGACGGUAGGUGCAGAAGAAGGACCGGCCAACUACGUGCCAGCCGCCGCGGUAA
rnacentral:rRNA from 1 species